AGAGUUUGAUCAUGGCUCAGGAUGAACGCUAGCGACAGGCCUAACACAUGCAAGUCGAGGGGCAUCGGGACGUAGCAAUACGUUGCCGGCGACCGGCGGAUGGGUGAGUAACGCGUAUGCAACCUACCCGUAGCAGGGGGAUAGCCCGUUGAAAGACGGAUUAAUACCCCGUAACACAGGGGCUCCGCAUGGAGAUUAUUGUUAAAGGGUCAUUUCUUUUUCAGGGAUGGUCCGGCUGCGGAUGGGCAUGCGUUCCAUUAGGUAGUUGGUGUAGGUAACAGCUCACCAAGCCGACGAUGGAUAGGGGAACUGAGAGGUUGGUCCCCCACACUGGUACUGAGACACGGACCAGACUCCUACGGGAGGCAGCAGUGAGGAAUUUUGGUCAAUGGACGCAAGUCUGAACCAGCCAUGUCGCGUGAAGGAGGACGGCCUUAUGGGUUGUAAACUUCUUUACUAUGCGACUAACUAGAUUUACGAGAUAAUUCUAUAGAAUGUAGCAUAGCGAAAAGCACCGGCUAACUCCGUGCCAGCAGCCGCGGUAAUACGGAGGGUGCGAGCGUUAUUCGGAAUUACUGGGUUUAAAGGGUGCGUAGGCGGCUAAGUAAGUUGUCAUUGAAAGGCUACAGCUCAACUGUAGUAGUGGUGGCGAUACUGCUUAGCUAAGAACAUGGGAGGGGUACUUGGAAUGUGUGGUGUAGCGGUGAAAUGCGUAGAUAUCACACAGAACACCAGAGGCGAAGGCGGAGUACUAGACCAUAGUUGACGCUGAGGCACGAAAGCGUGGGGAUCAAACAGGAUUAGAUACCCUGGUAGUCC
rnacentral:rRNA from 1 species